rnacentral:rRNA from 1 species
UGGCGAACGGGUGAGUAACACGUGAGCAAUCUGCCCCUGACUCUGGGAUAAGCGCUGGAAACGGCGUCUAAUACUGGAUAUGAGCUGCGAAGGCAUCUUCAGCAGUUGGAAAGAUUUUUCGGUCAGGGAUGAGCUCGCGGCCUAUCAGCUUGUUGGUGAGGUAAUGGCUCACCAAGGCGUCGACGGGUAGCCGGCCUGAGAGGGUGACCGGCCACACUGGGACUGAGACACGGCCCAGACUCCUACGGGAGGCAGCAGUGGGGAAUAUUGCACAAUGGGCGGAAGCCUGAUGCAGCAACGCCGCGUGAGGGAUGACGGCCUUCGGGUUGUAAACCUCUUUUAGCAGGGAAGAAGCGAGAGUGACGGUACCUGCAGAAAAAGCACCGGCUAACUACGUGCCAGCAGCCGCGGUAAUACGUAGGGUGCAAGCGUUAUCCGGAAUUAUUGGGCGUAAAGAGCUCGUAGGCGGUUUGUCGCGUCUGCUGUGAAAUCCCGAGGCUCAACCUCGGGCCUGCAGUGGGUACGGGCAGACUAGAGUGCGGUAGGGGAGAUUGGAAUUCCUGGUGUAGCGGUGGAAUGCGCAGAUAUCAGGAGGAACACCGAUGGCGAAGGCAGAUCUCUGGGCCGUAACUGACGCUGAGGAGCGAAAGGGUGGGGAGCAAACAGGCUUAGAUACCCUGGUAGUCCACCCCGUAAACGUUGGGAACUAGUUGUGGGGUCCAUUCCACGGAUUCCGUGACGCAGCUAACGCAUUAAGUUCCCCGCCUGGGGAGUACGGCCGCAAGGCUAAAACUCAAAGGAAUUGACGGGGACCCGCACAAGCGGCGGAGCAUGCGGAUUAAUUCGAUGCAACGCGAAGAACCUUACCAAGGCUUGACAUAUA